UACGUAGGGACCAAGCGUUGUCCGGAUUUACUGGGCGUAAAGAGCGCGCAGGCGGUCGUUCAAGUCGCGUGUGAAAGCCCCCGGCUCAACUGGGGAGGGUCACUCGAUACUGAUCGACUUGAAGGCAGGAGAGGGAAGCGGAAUUCCCGGUGUAGUGGUGAAAUGCGUAGAUAUCGGGAGGAACACCAGUGGCGAAGGCGGCUUCCUGGCCUGUUCUUGACGCUGAGGCGCGAAAGCUAGGGGAGCAAACGGG
rnacentral:rRNA from 1 species